rnacentral:rRNA from 1 species
AUACGAGCGGUGCAAGCGUUAAUCGGAAUUACUGGGCGUAAAGCGUUCGUAGGCGGUUUGUUAAGCAAGAUGUGAAAGCCCAGGGCUCAACCUUGGAACUGCAUUUUGAACUGGCAGGCUAGAGUACUGUAGAGGGUGGUGGAAUUUCCAGUGUAGCGGUGAAAUGCGUAGAGAUUGGAAGGAACAUCAGUGGCGAAGGCGGCCACCUGGACAGAUACUGACGCUGAGGAACGAAAGCGUGGGGAGCAAACAGGAUUAGAAACCCCAGUAGUCC